AAUAUAAUGUAUCUGAAGUGUAACACCCCGUAUUUUUGGGUUAGAAUUUAGACUAUCAUUCCUACGCGUAUAGACCCUAACUAAAUUAUUACUUGUUAAUGUAUGUGCAGUGAUCACUCCUAUAGUGUGGGAAAACCUUUGAAUAUGAAUUGAGGUCACAAAAAUCCCCUAACUCUAAGACGAAACAAUUCCAUCGAUUAAGUUUUAGAGGAUACUUCAACAUGGGUCAACUUUCUUCGACCAUAACUUCUUUUAAAUAAUGAACUGGGUGGCCUGCUAUAUAUCAAAUGAAAUAUCUUUGAGUUCUCUUUUCAAUGCUACUGAUUUCGUCCAAAUCCAACAUAGGAGUAAAAAGUUAUACCCAAUUUACUUCAAACAACAUUUUUAGCCCCAAAUUUAUUUCCCCAAAUUGAAAUCAUCCGCCCUUUCUCUCAAGAACUCCAAGAACAAGAUUCAAGUAUCCUUCUCUUCUAAAGAUCAAAAACUCAUCCCUAAGAUCAAGAAUUCCAGGAAACGGAUCAGGAUCCGGGUCUUGCCUUUCAAAUUCUAUAGUCUAAGGAUUCGAGGCAGAGUCCCGUAGUCCCAUACAACAGUAGAUUCGUGUGUGUCAGAAGUUUGCAGCUGGUGAGCCUCCCUUAAUUUGAAAGGCCAGUAUUAGAGCUUGUUAUUGUUGUUCCAUUUUGAUUCAUGGCCCGACUGGGGGCCUUGUCCCAGAUUUCAAACAAAUGUCAUUUUCAGUUGUUAGAGAUUUCGCAGACUGAUGUUUAGAAGUUGUUUCGAGGUUUGUGGUUUCCAUUACAGAUUGUUCAAUUAAAUUAUGAUAGUGAUCAUGAUUUCGUAUUGUUUUA